rnacentral:lncRNA from 1 species
CCCCCCCCAUCCCCUGUGCACAGGCAAGCAAGCCACUGCUGUUUCCUCUACAUCUCAUUUCUCUCUCCUGCGGUCACUAUGAUACACAGAGUUUCAAAAUUGCAUUAAAUCCUGCAGCACCUGUCACAGCAGUUGAUACAGUCCAGGUGUGCAGUCUAUUCCUGCUGCUAACUUUCCGACAUUGCUUCAUUGUUACACAGACUUGUCAAAAGCGAAAUUGCCACUUCCUCUUCUCUGCUGCCACCUGCUGGGCUGGGCUUGCUAUGGUCUUUGUUGACUGCCAGGGCCUGUCUAGGCAUCAGGGACUGGGAUGUAGAUGCUGUGCUAUAGAUGAGGGUUCUCUCCUCCCUGGGAAAACAAAAAAGAAAA